CUGAAUUAGCAACAAACAAUGUUUUGUCGAUCCGUCUUACGAAGGUGGAAAAACACGCAGUUAGUGACGGUCUCUAGUUCGAGACUGAAAACUUCCAAAAUCGCAAGCCUCGGCGAAUGACCUCGAUCGUUCCCUACGGAUGCACCGUGUGUUUUCAACUCUUGAGUCGCUGUUUACUGCUGAACACGGUGCUCAGCCGAACAGAGCACUUCAUUCCAGUGCAGUAUUUAUCACAGAAUUCGUGAACAGUACAUGCCCGACACCGCUCGAACGAUAGUCGCCAGCCAUCCAACGUAAAACUCACUUUCGACCUUUACAUUCGAUAAUUGGCUAUCUCCGGUCUCUUCUCGGAUGUGGACUGUGUGAUGCAAACUGCAAGAAUUUGAAGAUAAUCUUCACUUCCUUCAUAGCGCUAUAUGAUCAUCUUCUUACCUGCCUCGGCGGAGGUUGGGGCGCGGACAGCAUCGAUUGAUUGACGGGGUUGGGACUGUCCUCGAGAUUAACAUACCCGUUUGGAG